rnacentral:rRNA from 1 species
GUCGAACGGAAAGGCCCUUUCGGGGGUACUCGAGUGGCGAACGGGUGAGUAACACGUGGGUGAUCUGCCCUGCACUUUGGGAUAAGCCUGGGAAACUGGGUCUAAUACCGAAUAUUUCCUUUUGGUCGCAUGGCUGGGAGGGGAAAGCUUUUGCGGUGUGGGAUGGGCCCGCGGCCUAUCAGCUUGUUGGUGAGGUUAUGGCUUACCAAGGCGACGACGGGUAGCCGGCCUGAGAGGGUGACCGGCCACACUGGGACUGAGAUACGGCCCAGACUCCUACGGGAGGCAGCAGUGGGGAAUAUUGCACAAUGGGCGCAAGCCUGAUGCAGCGACGCCGCGUGGGGGAUGACGGCCUUCGGGUUGUAAACCUCUUUCAAUAGGGACGAAGCGCAAGUGACGGUACCUAUAGAAGAAGGACCGGCCAACUACGUGCCAGCAGCCGCGGUAAUACGUAGGGUCCGAGCGUUGUCCGGAAUUACUGGGCGUAAAGAGCUCGUAGGUGGUGUGUCGCGUCGUCCGUGAAAACUCACAGCUUAACUGUGGGCGUGCGGGCGAUACGGGCAGACUUGAGUACUGCAGGGGAGACUGGAAUUCCUGGUGUAGCGGUGGAAUGCGCAGAUAUCAGGAGGAACACCGGUGGCGAAGGCGGGUCUCUGGGCAGUAACUGACGCUGAGGAGCGAAAGCGUGGGGAGCGAACAGGAUUAGAUACCCUGGUAGUCCACGCCGUAAACGGUGGGUACUAGGUGUGGGUUUCCUUCCUUGGGAUCCGUGCCGUAGCUAACGCAUUAAGUACCCCGCCUGGGGAGUACGGCCGCAAGGCUAAAACUCAAAGAAAUUGACGGGGGCCCGCACAAGCGGCGGAGCAUGUGGAUUAAUUCGAUGCAACGCGAAGAACCUUACCUGGGUUUGACAUGCACAGGAC